AUUAAGACGAUGACCAGAUAACCGUCUAAAGCAGGUUUGGUCCCAUGUUACUGGUCAUCGUCUUAACUU